UGGGGAAUAUUGCACAAUGGGCGAAAGCCUGAUGCAGCAACGCCGCGUGAGUGAUGAAGGCCUUCGGGUUGUAAAGCUCUGUCUUCUGGGACGAUAAUGACGGUACCGGAGGAGGAAGCCACGGCUAACUACGUGCCAGCAGCCGCGGUAAUACGUAGGUGGCAAGCGUUGUCCGGAUUUACUGGGCGUAAAGGAUGCGUAGGCGGAUACUUAAGUCAGAUGUGAAAAUCCCGGGCUUAACUUGGGAACUGCAUUUGAAACUGGGUAUCUAGAGUGCGGGAGAGGAAAGUGGAAUUCCUAGUGUAGCGGUGAAAUGCGUAGAGAUCCGGAAGAACACCGGUGGCGAAGGCGGCCUGCUGGGCAGUAGCUGACGCUGAGGCGCGACAGCGUGGGGAGCAAACA
rnacentral:rRNA from 1 species